UUCUGGUUCAGCUUCAACAUCAACCAUGUUCUCUACUCCUCUACUGCUGUUACUGUUAGCAGCUGUUUCCUGUGUUCACUGUGUUGAACUGAGCCAGUCUGGAUCUACAGUUGUAGCACCUGGUCAAUCAACUACACUGACCUGUAGAGUUUCUGGAUAUUCACUGAGUGAUAGCAGCUACUGUACAGACUGGAUACGACAGCCUGCAGGAAAAGCUCUGGAGUGGGUUGGAGAGAUAUGUGGAAGUGGUAGCACUUACUACAGUGAUAAACUGAAGAGCAGAUUUGAAGUUACCAGAGACUCAUCCAGCAGCACAGUGUCUUUAAGAGGACAGAAUCUGCAGACUGAAGAUACAGCUGUGUAUUACUGCGCUCGAGCCCCACAGUGAAACACAUCAACAG